rnacentral:rRNA from 1 species
AUCUUGACGUGGGCGCAGCCUGACCGCCUGCCGCGUGAGUGACGAAGGUCUUCGGAUUGUAAAGCUCUUUUGCCAGGGACGAUAAUGACGGUACCUGGAGAAUAAGCCCCGGCUAACUUCGUGCCAGCAGCCGCGGUAAUACGAAGGGGGCUAGCGUUGUUCGGAAUUACUGGGCGUAAAGCGCACGUAGGCGGAUUUAUAAGUCAGGGGUGAAAUCCCGGGGCUCAACCUCGGAACUGCCUUUGAUACUGUAAGUCUUGAGUCCGAUAGAGGUGAGUGGAAUUCCUAGUGUAGAGGUGAAAUUCGUAGAUAUUAGGAAGAACACCAGUGGCGAAGGCGGCUCACUGGAUCGGUACUGACGCUGAGGUGCGAAAG